UCAAAACUUUUGGCUUUCAAACCUAGGUUAGGACUUAGAGAAAAGUGAAGACGGCAACACUAAUCUUGGUAUUGUACUCUCUCAAACUUCCAACAGUGAUUUUGCUCUCUUCGCCUUCUCCACCCGCUAAGCUCUGUCGCCUCCAUUCUUUCUCCCCUUUUCUUCUAAAUACCUAAUAAUUUUGAAAAAAAGAAACAAGAACUGUCAGUUUCUCAAAGUGCAUCAACUGAGGUAGGAGACACUAAUUCAGCAAGCCAAUUAAGUGAAAUGGAUAUUUAGGUGCAAUCUGUUGGUGGAAAGAAAAAAGGAAGGGUUGCAGGACUUGGUUCUUUGGGUCGAUCUAUAAAAGCACUUAAGCAUUCAACAUCUACUUUACAAUGAGAAAUUGAUGAGAUAAUUAAAUCUCAGAUGGAUGCUUCCAAUGCUGACUUAUAUGCUCAGUUGCAAGAAGAGUGGCGCAAAACUAAAAAGAUGAGGAAAGAAUUAGACUUAUUGAAGAAGUAUGUGAAUUUCAAUGCAUCAUCUUCAAAUGAGUUAUCAUCUCAAAAGACAAUCAAGGAUCUGAGAACGAAAGUGACGAUGACUCCGAUAAUGUGAAUAAAAGUGGUUCUCACCCUGGUAAUGCGAAUGAAAGUGACUGUAAUCAUGAUUGAGAUGUUCAUUAGACUAUUAAGUUUCACAUUUGAUAUAUUUUAAUUUUUGAUUAAGGAUUAUAUGAUAUUACAUUAACGUUAUGAAUUAUGUUUUCUUUUCGUUAUAAUUAUAUUAGAUGUGUGUUCAAUGA